rnacentral:rRNA from 1 species
AUUGAACGCUGGCGGCAGGCUUAACACAUGCAAGUCGAGCGGGGGAGGUUGCUUCGGUAACUGACCUAGCGGCGGACGGGUGAGUAAUGCUUAGGAAUCUGCCUAUUAGUGGGGGACAACAUUCCGAAAGGGAUGCUAAUACCGCAUACGCCCUACGGGGGAAAGCAGGGGAUCUUCGGACCUUGCGCUAAUAGAUGAGCCUAAGUCGGAUUAGCUAGUUGGUGGGGUAAGGGCCUACCAAGGCGACGAUCUGUAGCGGGUCUGAGAGGAUGAUCCGCCACACUGGGACUGGAACACGGCCCAGACUCCUACGGGAGGCAGCAGUGGGGAAUAUUGGACAAUGGGCGGAAGCCUGAUCCAGCCAUGCCGCGUGUGUGAAGAAGGCCUUUUGGUUGUAAAGCACUUUAAGCGAGGAGGAGGCUCUUAAGGUUAAUACCCUUGAUGAGUGGACGUUACUCGCAGAAUAAGCACCGGCUAACUCUGUGCCAGCCGCCGCAGUAAAAC